UAAUGUUCCGUAGGGUGAACCUGCGGAGGGAUCAUUA
rnacentral:rRNA from 1 species